CGGACUUGCCGCCAACGCCCAAUAGUCUGGGACGAGGUCGGCAUCCCUACACACCUAUAACCGCUACCUCGAGUCUGGGGUUAGAAAACCCAGUAACCCGGAAUUUAGGCAAGAAAUGUAUAAUUUAAAAGACACAAUUGGAAAAGCUGGUUAUUUUACCAAGGCUUUGACUGGAAUGGUGUGCUUUCCUUUGAGGAAUCAACAUUUAUGAAGCCAAUAAAGCCCUUGGAAACUGGCCUCUUAUUCUGUGUACAAAGUUCCUGUACAGGGUUUCUGAUCUGUGGCAAGUAAAGAAUGUCCCUUUCUAACAGGCCAGGAACCCCAAGUUAUCUUGGAACCUCAAGAAGAGACAAAUUCAACAACUCAUAAGUAUUUGAUGGUACAAAUCUAUGACUGGGCAUGCCUUUAAAAAGGUCUCACCUCAGAUUCCCUCUACAGAACAAAGUUCCAUCAAAGCUAAUUUAAAAGGCCUAUGUAACAAAUAAUUAUUCUUGCUGCACUGUAUCCAAAUAAUUAAGCCACACAUAAUAAAGCAAACUAGGCCUACCAUGAUUUGUCUUUUAAUAAAAACGGGAAACUGGAGAAAGAAA